rnacentral:snoRNA from 1 species
UCCCUCCAGAUUCCUUACCCCUUGGCCCGAAAUACUGGUCUGAGUGGCUAAAAAGAGGGAAGAAAAGUAACACUGAAAUGGAUGUGGAGUGUUUAGUGACAGAGUCCAUCGCAAACAUUG